rnacentral:misc_RNA from 1 species
AAGUGAGCUUCCAGGCUGGUACAACCCUCAACUCGAGGGGUCAUCGAUAUCUUUUACUGUGCCCCCACCCCAUGGUCACAAGAUCCGUGGUUUAAACAAAACAUAUGCACUGUGUAUGCAUGCAAUAAUCUAAGAAAUGGAUUUGGUGAUCAUCAUUGCACUAAGGUCUGGAAUAAAACUAAGGAUCUAAGGUGGACCUAUAGCCCAACAUUUUAUGGAAUUCCUGAAACAGAAGAGAUCAUGCUAUGGCUAAGCCACUGGAAAUUGGGCGAUCAACUGGAAGGUGGGGAUGAAUUGAAUGUUUCAGUGGUUAUGUCAACUGGUUAUCAGGUGAAAAAGUUUGGCAUCCAUCUUGUAUGCGAACAGGGAAAAGAGGAUACCCUACUGAAUAGCGAAGAAGCACAGCCAAAUACAUCUUCCUGGUACCAAACCUUCAGCAUUGCUGAUGUGGAUAUGUACAGGGUACGGAGGGAUGCUUUUUUCCUCUGCAAUCAUGAUUAUUUACUUCAUCAAGAAGUAUCAGAAUGCGGUUGGGAUAACUUCCAGCGACACAGCCACUUGUUUGAGCAAUAAGCUGAAAUUAGAGGCAUGUUGUUACUCGUCCUAUUCUUUUAAGCAAGAUGUAUAAGAAACUGUUCACUUGUGAUCCAAUUCACAGCUGUACCUCUUUCUUUGUUCAUAUUAGUAGUACAUUUCUUUGCUUAUAUGUUCCUUGAUAUAUGUGGAAAUUCUCCGGC